UGCUGCCUGCACCUCAGUCUGUGAUCUCACAAGCUGAUCAGAGCCAGCUAUGGUCAGUAGUUGGAUGGAAGACCUCCAGGCAAAAUAGCUCAGGCUGCCA
rnacentral:rRNA from 1 species